GAGGCAAGGCUAAAGCUCUUACAAGAAUCUGGUUUGAACGCACAAAAUUAUCAACGCCUAUCUGAAAUGUGGAUGGAUCCUAAACAUAAGGAACGUUGUGAGAUUAACAAAAACAAUCGAUCAAAGUUGAAGUACAAUCAUGUAAUGGGCUCAAAAGCUUUUGUAGUAGCUCGAUUUGAAAUUGCUGAGAAAAUGAAUAAUGGUGUGGAACCUGAUAGAAUUGAAUUCUGUAAGCACACCCACUACAGUGAAGGAAAGGGAUGAUCAUCAGUGGAUGCAGAGACUAAUUAUGUAAGAAUGUUUUUAUUUUAUUAGUAGUAAUUUUUUUAGAAAUUAUUUAUUUCUUAAAUAUAUGUGUUCUUUUGUUUAUA